rnacentral:tRNA from 1 species
GGAUUGUGGCUCAGGGGCAGAGCACUCGCCUAGCAUGCUCGAGGACCUGGGUUCAAUCCUCAGCACCA